rnacentral:lncRNA from 1 species
CUUGUUUUACUGGAGGAGAAAGUGGGGCACAGAGAAAUUCAGUUAUUGGUCCGAGGUCACACAGCGUGUGAGUCGGGAAGGAAGGGGCAGCUGGAAUUUGAACCUGGCAGUCUGGCUUCCCUCUGGGGAAGAGCAGUGGAUGAGGGCGAAGCCGACAAGAGCCCAAACUCAUCUGCGCUGCGCUGCUUUUGAGCCACACAAAUCCAAAUAAGGGAUCAUCCAAAUCCUUUAUUUUCUCUCGAAGUUUUGUGAUCAUUAAUCAGUUAACAGCUUGUUCCCUUCUGUGCUGGACAACCCCCAGCUGCAAGGGGCAGGAAUGGAGCAUGGGGGAGGCUGUAAAAUAGAUCACUCAGGAGUUUGUGAGCAGCUGGGCAACAUAGUGAGACCCUGUCUCUAAAAGAAAAAAAAA